rnacentral:rRNA from 1 species
GAUGAACGCUGGCGGCGUGCCUAAUACAUGCAAGUCGAGCGAACAGACGAGGAGCUUGCUCCUCUGACGUUAGCGGCGGACGGGUGAGUAACACGUGGAUAACCUACCUAUAAGACUGGGAUAACUUCUGGAAACCGGAGCUAAUACCGGAUAAUAUAUUGAACCGCAUGGCUCAAUAGUUAAAGACGGUUUUGCUUUCACUUAUAGAUGGAUCCGCGCCGCAUUAGCUAGUUGGUCAGGUAACGGCUUACCAAGGCGACGAAGCGUACCCGCCCCGAGAGGGUGAUCGGCCACCCUGGAAGUGAGACACGGUCCAGACUCCUACGGGAGGCAGCAGUAGGGAAUCUUACGCAAUGGGCGAAAGCCUGACGGAGCAACGCCGCGUGAGUGAUGAAGGUCUUCGGAUCGUAAAACUCUGUUAUUAGGGAAGAACAAAUGUGUAAUUAACUAUGCACGUAUUGACGGUACCUAAUCAGAAAGCCACGGCUAACUCCGUG